CAGUCGCGGUAAUACGAAGGUCCCGAGCGUUGUUCGGAAUCACUGGGCGUAAAGGGAGCGUAGGCGGCGUGGUAAGUCAGAUGUGAAAUCCCGGGGCUCAACCCCGGAACUGCAUCCGAUACUGCCAUGCUAGAGGAUUGGAGAGGUAGCUGGAAUUCUUGGUGUAGCAGUGAAAUGCGUGGAGAUCAAGAGGAACACUCGUGGCGAAAGCGAGCUACUGGACAAUAACUGACGCUGAGGCUCGAAGGCCAGGGUAGCGAAAGGGAUUAGAUACCCGCGUAGUCCCUGUCUCUUAUACACA
rnacentral:rRNA from 1 species